GGCCGCCUGGCCCUGGGGGGCUGUGUCUGCCUUGAGCAGCCUCUCACGUGGGGCAGAGCACGUGCGCCAGAGACAUCAACCAGAAGAACGGAUAAAGGGGCGAAUUGAGUUCUCACUCUCCUGGGAAAUUUUUGGAACAAAGAUCAGUUAAUUUUUUUCCAGAGAUCUUCAUCUCUAUUACUGCUCUCCAGCGUUACGUUAUCCCGACCGGCAGAUUUUACCAACACGUGCAAAGAAGGACAGUCCAGGAAAGCACCGGAAGGAGCACGAGAUGCUUUUCAAACUGCUCGUUUCCACUGCAUCUUCCCGUUGGCGUCUCACAGCACCCCGAGAGGCAGCUCCGAGAUCAGGCUGCUGAACCGGCAGAUCUCCUCGCUGACCAGGACGUCGAAGGCGUCCCGUUGCCUCAGGAUGUCCC